rnacentral:rRNA from 1 species
GAUGAACGCUGGCGGCGUGCCUAAUACAUGCAAGUCGAGCGAACGGACGAGAAGCUUGCUUCUCUGAUGUUAGCGGCGGACGGGUGAGUAACACGUGGAUAACCUACCUAUAAGACUGGGAUAACUUCGGGAAACCGGAGCUAAUACCGGAUAAUAUUUUGAACCGCAUGGUUCAAAAGUGAAAGACGGUCUUGCUGUCACUUAUAGAUGGAUCCGCGCUGCAUUAGCUAGUUGGUAAGGUAACGGCUUACCAAGGCAACGAUGCAUAGCCGACCUGAGAGGGUGAUCGGCCACACUGGAACUGAGACACGGUCCAGACUCCUACGGGAGGCAGCAGUAGGGAAUCUUCCGCAAUGGGCGAAAGCCUGACGGAGCAACGCCGCGUGAGUGAUGAAGGUCUUCGGAUCGUAAAACUCUGUGAUUAGGGAAGAACAUAUGUGUAAGUAACUGUGCACAUCUUGACGGUACCUAAUCAGAAAGCCACGGCUAACUACGU